CUUGUCUUGCUGGACGAACUUCCUGCUUCCUCCAUCGGGGUUUCCUGAGGCUACGUCACAUGACUGUCUUAAAGCGACAGUACCAUAUUUCAGGUUCAGAAACCAAAAGAGAGCAACAAUUCAACAGGUGUCAGUGAUCACAGAGAAGGAGCAGAUAUCAGUGACUCCUGCUGUCGCUGUCUGGAUGGAAGUCUGGUAACUAAAAUAUUCUUCUUUCACAUAGUAUUCUUCCCGUCUCAUCCUGGGUUUGUAACAGAUAUUAGAUAGAAAUGACACACGGUACAAAGAAACGUGGGUUUAUUCAUGAUGACAGAGAGAAAAAAAGAGUUCAUUUUUUCUGGUGAACAAUAUAAUCAAAUGCUGCCUUGUUUUUGUUCACAUAAUUUUCUGGAGUGCUGAUUUUAAUGGUGGGCUGGUUUUUGUCACACAUGCUAAGUUUUAAGUUAUUAUUCGCCAAGGAGUUUCUUUUUUUUUGUUUUAUUAUCAUGUUUAAACUGCGGCAGUGUCUGUAUUCAAAUAUAAUAUUGUAUAAAAUAUGUAGCUAGCUUGACUAUGUGAAAUUCAGCUGACAAUAGUCUUCAGAAAACAAUCUUUCUUUUAAGUCCUAAUAUUAGGAAAACAAUGACAGUGGAAGGAAGCAGAGCCAUGCUGAGUGAAAUAAGUAUUUACUCUGAUCUGGCAUAAUCCAUUCGAGAUAAAAAUCCAUAAGCACAAAGCAGAUAAAUGGCAAAAAAAAU